CAGUCGCCACGGUAAUACAGAGGGUGCAAGCGUUAAUCGGAAUUACUGGGCGUAAAGCGCGCGUAGGUGGUUUGUUAAGUUGGAUGUGAAAGCCCCGGGCUCAACCUGGGAACUGCAUCCAAAACUGGCAAGCUAGAGUACGGUAGAGGGUGGUGGAAUUUCCUGUGUAGCGGUGAAAUGCGUAGAUAUAGGAAGGAACACCAGUGGCGAAGGCGACCACCUGGACUGAUACUGACACUGAGGUGCGAAAGCGUGGGGAGCAAACAGGAUUAGAUACCCGGGUAGUCACUGUCUCUUAUAC
rnacentral:rRNA from 1 species